rnacentral:rRNA from 1 species
GAUGAACGCUGGCGGCGUGCCUAAUACAUGCAAGUCGAGCGAACAGACGAGGAGCUUGCUCCUCUGACGUUAGCGGCGGACGGGUGAGUAACACGUGGAUAACCUACCUAUAAGACUGGGAUAACUUCGGGAAACCGGAGCUAAUACCGGAUAAUAUAUUGAACCGCAUGGUUCAAUAGUGAAAGACGGUUUUGCUGUCACUUAUAGAUGGAUCCGCGCCGCAUUAGCUAGUUGGUAAGGUAACGGCUUACCAAGGCAACGAUGCGUAGUCGACCUGAGAGGGGGUCCGGCCCACAUGGAACUGGGAAACGGUCCAGACUCCUACGGGGGGCAGCAGGAGGGAAUUUUCCGCAAGGGGGGAAAGCAUGACGGGGCAACGCCGGGGGGGUGAGGAAGGUCUUCGGAUCGUAAAACUCUGUUAUUAGGGAAAAAAAAAUGUGUAAGUAACUAUGCACGUCUUGACGGUACCAAAGAAGAAAGCCACGGCGAACUACGU